UACAGAGGGGGCAAGCGUUGUUCGGAAUUACUGGGCGUAAAGGGCGCGUAGGCGGCUUGUUAAGUCGAACGUGAAAUCCCCGGGCUCAACCCGGGAACUGCGUCCGAUACUGGCAGGCUUGAAUUCGGGAGAGGGAUGCGGAAUUCCAGGUGUAGCGGUGAAAUGCGUAGAUAUCUGGAGGAACACCGGUGGCGAAGGCGGCAUCCUGGACCGAGAUUGACGCUGAGGCGCGAAAGCCAGGGGAGCAAACGGG
rnacentral:rRNA from 1 species